rnacentral:lncRNA from 1 species
CUCUUGUAGAUCCUAUUAUAAAGUUAAUGUCGAAAUCCAUUGCUUUCCCACUUUCUCUCUUCCCCCAGAAGAGCUAGAGUUUUUCUGUAUUACUCACAGGAGACGGCUGAUCUCCAUCCCUUGUGUAGACUUCCGACGGUCAGUUUUCUGACAUGAAAGCUGCAAGGCAAUAGAGACACGCUUGGGUAUACCACAAGGAUGUGAUUAUGGUCAUGACACAUGUAGCUCAUACAAAGAAUCAGUUUAAGCAGCCUCUGACCUUUCCACUCAGCUAGAGUGGUUCCAUAUGCUGCUACCUCCAAAGUAGCGGCAAUUAAGAUGUCUUUUUAUGCCAGGUGAAGUGCUCAGCAGUCUUCAAAAGCUUGCACACGGCUUCCAGCUUCAGCUGAGCCAACAUCUCAGGCUAUGACCAAAUGACCAGCAGAUAAGGAGAGAGAUCACCUCUCCAUGGGUCCUGAAAGAAUAUGGCUGCAGGAAGGUCCUAGACCUGAGGCACACAAAGACCCAUUGUCCAUUUAUCUCCUGGGAGAAGACAGAGGACUUUCAUUUGUCCGGGAGCCUCCUCCUAUCGAGGAAGGCCCACCCCAAUCAUUGAUAAAAUCCCUGGACUAGCUCGAGUUAACAACCAAUAAGACAGAAAUAUUGGAGAGAUCUACCAUAUGCUAUGUCAUUUUCCAGCUACUAUGGAAAGUAUGCCAUACCAGCCACAGUGGGGAAUAUAUAAUAUUGACACAAAAGAAACUUAUGGACAUUGUCUAGAAAUCUUUAAAAACAUCUGAGUUUACAUUUUCUCUGUAUUCAAACAUAGAGAAUUGUGAAUUCUCUUCCAACAUGUGUGUGUCUGUAUAUAUAGAGAGAGAGAGAGAAACAGAGGGAGAGGGAGAGAGGGAAAAGGCAUAUAUUCAAGGAUUUUCAGCUGUUUGUCUUUGAAGUCAAUAAAUUUUUAAUGAGUUAAAUUACAACAAUUCCAAAACUAAUGCAUACUCAAAUAUACUUGUCUUUUACUAUAUAAACGUGUGUGUGAGUAUGUGUGUAUCACGGGGGGUGCGUUUAUGUGCAUGUGUUGUGUGCAUACACAUAUAUGUGUAUAUGAAAUAAUGAUGAAUGUGGGGAAUGAAGAAAUAUUAAAUGAGGAGCA